rnacentral:rRNA from 1 species
GGGCUUCUGAGUUGUAGACUUCGGUCUGCUACCUCUUACCCAUGUCUUUUGAGUACCUUCGUUUCCUCGGCGGGUCCGCCCGCCGAUUGGACAACAUUCAAACCCUUUGCAGUUGCAAUCAGCGUCUGAAAAAACAUAAUAGUUACAACUUUCAACAACGGAUCUCUUGGUUCUGGCAUCGAUGAAGAACGCAGCGAAAUGCGAUAAGUAGUGUGAAUUGCAGAAUUCAGUGAAUCAUCGAAUCUUUGAACGCACAUUGCGCCCCUUGGUAUUCCAUGGGGCAUGCCUGUUCGAGCGUCAUUUGUACCUUCAAGCUCUGCUUGGUGUUGGGUGUUUGUCUCGCCUCUGCGUGUAGACUCGCCUUAAAACAAUUGGCAGCCGGCGUAUUGAUUUCGGAGCGCAGUACAUCUCGCGCUUUGCACUCAUAACGACGACGUCCAAAAGUACAUUUUUACACUCUUGACCUCGGAUCAGGUAGGGAUACCCGCUGAACUUAAGCAUAUCAAUAAGCCGGAGGAG